UACGGAGGGGGCAAGCGUUGUUCGGAAUUACUGGGCGUAAAGGGCUCGUAGGCGGCCACCUAAGGCAGACGUGAAAUCCCUCGGCUUAACCGGGGAACUGCGUCUGAUACUGGAUGGCUUGAGGUUGGGAGAGGGAUGCGGAAUUCCAGGUGUAGCGGUGAAAUGCGUAGAUAUCUGGAGGAACACCGGUGGCGAAGGCGGCAUCCUGGACCAAUUCUGACGCUGAGGAGCGAAAGCCAGGGGAGCAAACGGG
rnacentral:rRNA from 1 species